CGUGUAGGCGGUCAGGUAGGUCCGUUGUGAAAACUCGAGGCUCAACCUCGAGACGCCGAUGGAAACCAUCUGACUAGAGUCCGGAAGAGGAGAGUGGAAUUCCUGGUGUAGCGGUGAAAUGCGCAGAUAUCAGGAAGAACACCCGUGGCUAAGGCGGCUCUCUAGUACGGUACUGACGCCGAGACGCGAAAGCGUGGGGAGCGAACA
rnacentral:rRNA from 1 species